rnacentral:sRNA from 1 species
GCGGAGGAAAAGAAACCAACAGGGAUUGCCCUAGUAACGGCGAGUGAAGCGGCAACAGCUCAAAUUUGAAAUCUGGCUCUCUUUGGGGGUCCGAGUUGUAAUUUGCAGAGGAUGCUUUGGCAUUGGCGGCGGUCUAAGUUCCUUGGAACAGGACAUCACAGAGGGUGAGAAUCCCGUACGUGGUCGCCUGCCCUUGCCGUGUAAAGCUCCUUCGACGAGUCGAGUUGUUUGGGAAUGCAGCUCUAAAUGGGAGGUAAAUUUCUUCUAAAGCUAAAUACUGGCCAGAGACCGAUAGCGCACAAGUAGAGUGAUCGAAAGAUGAAAAGUACUUUGGAAAGAGAGUCAAAAAGCACGUGAAAUUGUUGAAAGGGAAGCGCUUGCAGCCAGACUUGCCCGCAGUUGCUCACCUAGGCUUUUGCCUGGGGCACUCUUCUGUGGGCAGGCCAGCAUCAGUUUGGGCGGUUGGAUAAAGGCCUCUGUCACGUAUCUCCCUUCGGGGUGACCUUAUAGGGGAGGCGUAAUGCAACCAGCCCGGACUGAGGUCCGCGCAUCUGCUAGGAUGCUGGCGUAAUGGCUGUAAGCGGCCCGUCUUGAAACACGGACCAAGGAGUCUAACAUCUAUGCGAGUGUUUGGGUGUCAAGCCCGAGCGCGUAAUGAAAGUGAACGGAGGUGGGAACCCUUUGGGUGCACCAUCGACCGAUCCUGAUGUCUUCGGAUGGAUUUGAGUAAGAGCAUAGCUGUUGGGACCCGAAAGAUGGUGAACUAUGCUUGAAUAGGGUGAAGCCAGAGGAAACUCUGGUGGAGGCUCGCAGCGGUUCUGACGUGCAAAUCGAUCGUCAAAUUUGGGCAUAGGGGCGAAAGACUAAUCGAACCAUCUAGUAGCU